UACAGAGGUCUCAAGCGUUGUUCGGAAUCACUGGGCGUAAAGGGUGCGUAGGUGGCGUGGAAAGUCAGAUGUGAAAUUCGGGGGCUCAACCUCCGGACUGCAUCCGAUACUCCCAUGCUAGAGAACUGGAGGGGAGUCUGGAAUUCUCGGUGUAGCAGUGAAAGGCGUGGAUAUCGAGAGGAACACUAGUGGCGAAGGCGAGACUCUGGACAGUAUCUGACACUGAGGCACGAAGGCCAGGGUAGCGAACGGG
rnacentral:rRNA from 1 species